UUCAUACUCCCUCCGUUCGGAAUUACUUGUCGCAGAAAUGGAUGUAUCUAGAUGUAUUUUAGUUCUAGAUACAUCCAUUUCCGAGACAAGUAAUUCCGAACGGCCGGAGUAUAUU
rfam:Triticum urartu cultivar G1812 contig1154703, whole genome shotgun sequence.